rnacentral:rRNA from 1 species
GCCGGGACCAUCCGGCAAGGCUAAAUACUCCCGAGAGACCGAUAGUGAACCAGUACUGUGAAGGAAAGGUGAAAAGCACUUCGAACAGAAGAGUGAAAUAGUACCUGAAACCGUGCGCCUACAAGCGGUCGGAGCUCUGCAAAGAGUGACGGCGUGCCUUUUGCAUAAUGAACCUACGAGUUACCGUGUCCGGCAAGGUUAAGGGACAGGAGU